rnacentral:lncRNA from 1 species
UGAGGAUCACCAUUUGGUGGGGUUGGGGUCACACCCGAAGUCGUACUGGAGAAUUGAGCGGAACUACUUCCAUGUGCACUCUUUUAUCGGGUCAGGAAGCCCUGUUUUUGAAGCAGGAAGACCUCUUCGUCAUCAUUAUUGGGGUAUGGGCCCUAAAUCAUUGGAAAAGACGGUUUUCUUUAGGGAAUUUACACGAUAUCGCCUCCUUCUGUACUAGCAAGGGAAUGGAUGAGUUCACUUAAGAAGCAGGCCUGGCCGGUACUAAAACAGAGAAGUCAGCUCAGGUUUCAUCUCAUCUAAGCAGCAGCCAAGCGAUGAUUCUGGAAUCGUGCCAUGCUUGACAGUUGGACUUCUCGCCAUACAUAGAAAUGAACUUCUAAUGAGCUAUCUAUCCCCGAUAUGAUCUGGUACUAGACUUCACACAUGUUGCCAUCGUAUAAUCGGAGAAUCAACGCUGCUGUCUACCUUCGGAAAGCUAAAUAGAUGAUUUUCGAUACUAGGAUGACUACUCCCGAGGCCUGUUUUAACUAAAGAAUUUACAGGUGGCCCGGUCGGUAAACUAUUCCCGAGAGAGGAGAAGCAGAAACAUCAAUCUGUAUUUUCGUAUCAUAUUCCAGCAGCCCCAAUGCCUUAGAGCGGGAUCUUAUCUUCCUAGAAAGAAAUGAGUGUUGCACACGGAUAGCCAGCUACUCCUUAUGAAUGGGAUGCAUGCAUAUUUCAAUUCAUGAACUGAAGCUCGUAGAAAUCCUUCCUAUCCGCCUAGUUACCUAUCCGGACUUGUUUCGGAGAAAUCCUACCUUGCUUUUAGGCGGAGAAAGACUAUUUUUUAGUUUCUUCGGUGCAAAAGUGCCGUAGGCAAGUCCGUUUCAUAUAGCUGCAAAAGUUAGCAAGUCCUUUUUCCCUAAGGAAACUCGAUUUCCAAUGAAAAAAGUGUGGAUCACUAUGGGUCAAAAGUAGUGUUUUUCUAGUUUACCUCAAAAAUGAAUUUUUUGAGAGCAAUAUUUUUCGAUCAAGUCCUAAUCACUUAGCUGUAAAAGUAGGCUUUUUUCAUCUCCCGAAACCCAGGCCCUCU